rnacentral:tRNA from 2 species
UCCCUGGUAGCUCAGUUGGUAGAGCAUGCGACUGUUAAUCGCAGGGUCACUGGUUCGAGUCCAGUCCGGGGAGCCA